rnacentral:rRNA from 1 species
CGGGCUUCGGCCUGGCGGCGAGUGGCGAACGGGUGAGUAAUAUAUCGGAACGUGCCCAAGAGUGGGGGAUAACGUAGCGAAAGUUACGCUAAUACCGCAUACGAUCCACGGAUGAAAGCAGGGGACCGCAAGGCCUUGUGCUCCUGGAGCGGCCGAUAUCUGAUUAGCUAGUUGGUGAGGUAAAGGCUCACCAAGGCGACGAUCAGUAGCUGGUCUGAGAGGACGACCAGCCACACUGGAACUGAGACACGGUCCAGACUCCUACGGGAGGCAGCAGUGGGGAAUUUUGGACAAUGGGGGCAACCCUGAUCCAGCAAUGCCGCGUGAGUGAAGAAGGCCUUCGGGUUGUAAAGCUCUUUUGUCAGGGAAGAAAAGGUCGUGGCUAAUAUCCACGGCUCAUGACGGUACCUGAAGAAUAAGCACCGGCUAACUACGUGCCAGCAGCCGCGGUAAUACGUAGGGUGCAAGCGUUAAUCGGAAUUACUGGGCGUAAAGCGUGCGCAGGCGGUUUUGUAAGUCUGACGUGAAAUCCCCGGGCUUAACCUGGGAAUGGCGUUGGAGACUGCAAGGCUGGAAUCUGGCAGAGGGGGGUAGAAUUCCACGUGUAGCAGUGAAAUGCGUAGAGAUGUGGAGGAACACCGAUGGCGAAGGCAGCCCCCUGGGCUAAGAUUGACGCUCAUGCACGAAAGCGUGGGGAGCAAACAGGAUU